rnacentral:rRNA from 1 species
GAUGAACGCUGGCGGCGUGCCUAAUACAUGCAAGUCGAGCGAACGGACGAGAAGCUUGCUUUUCUGAUGUUAGCGGCGGACGGGUGAGUAACACGUGGAUAACCUACCUAUAAGACUGGGAUAACUUCGGGAAACCGGAGCUAAUACCGGAUAAUAUUUUGAACCGCAUGGUUCAAAAGUGAAAGACGGUCUUGCUGUCACUUAUAGAUGGAUCCGCGCUGCAUUAGCUAGUUGGUAAGGUAACGGCUUACCAAGGCAACGAUGCAUAGCCGACCUGAGAGGGUGAUCGGCCACACUGGAACGGAGACACGGUCCAGACUCCUACGGGAGGCAGCAGUAGGGAAUCUUCCGCAAAGGGCGAAAGCCUGACGGAGCAACGCCGCGUGAGUGAUGAAGGUCUUCGGAUCGUAAAACUCUGUUAUUAGGGAAGAACAUAUGUGUAAGUAACUGUGCACAUCUUGACGGUACCUAAUCAGAAAGCCACGGCUAACUACGUG